GGUAGUGGCAUUACUAUCGCUGUGAAAAUGUACCCAGACCAUGUUUCCAGCGCUGUGAAUCUCCCUCGGUAAAUUAUGCCACACUUUGGUCUCGCAAGGACCGCGCC